AUCAACAACAUCAUUAUCAAAAGAAAAGCAAAACUUUUUUUUCGUUAGUAAUAAUAAAAAUUUCAUGUGAUUCGAUCGAUCACAGGUAUCAUUGGAUUCUUUAUCUCUCACUAUCUUUUUUGUUUUGUUUUGUUUUCGAUAAUGUCUUCAAAUGAGAAUCUAUAUAUAUUUUUCGUAAACAAUAAAGCCAUUCGGAUCAGAAUAUCAUUAUCUGGAUGCAAUACACUUUAAUUAAAAUCUAUUAAAAAUUGAUAUAUAAAAUGAUGACAACAAUAACAACAACAAUUACAUCGACAAUCACCAUCAAACGAUUUUUGGGUGUUGACAUUUGUAAACUUAUAAAUGUGUAAUUACAUCUCUAUUGUCGUGUUUGUUGUUGAUAUUUUACCAAUAUCUAUAAUGAUACGUUCAAUGUAAAAAAAAACAUUUUAGUAUGAUCAUCAUAAUCAUUGUGUGUUCGAAUCUCUCGUUUACAGAAUUCUUUAUCAUUAUCUAUCUAUAUACAUCUAAUAAAGUUGGAACCUUGCUACACGAUUCAUCAUUAUCAUCAUCAUCAUCAUCAUAAUCAUGUGCUAAUGCUUGUUGGCUGAUUUGAUUCCAUUCCAUUCAUUUUGGAUUCGAUUUCGAUUUCGAUUCAUUCACUAUCAUAUUAUCUACAUAGGAUGAAUUCGAAAAAAAGAGAAAAAAAAAAAAUCCAAGA